AACCUUCGGAAGGACUUAAUCUCACAUUUGAAGAAAAAUAAUUUUUAUAGUUAUUUGGUUAUUUGAAGAACAGACUAAUGGAGCGACAACUGAGGCCGGUUAGAAGGCUUUUCAGUAGUACAGAAAGAGAUGAUUAGAUCAGGGAUUAGGAUGGUAGUAGUGAAGAACUGGAAUAUGUACUAGUUCGCUUGGAACUGUUACAAAGUGUCUGCUAUGUGCCAUUAAUUUUCGUAUGCUCUGGGGUUUCUUGCCCUCGAGAAACUUAGAUUCUGCCAGGGUGAGUCCAUUUUAGAAAUAGAAUGAUGAGAGGACACCGUAAGAGGCUUCUGGGAUUUCUCUUAACUUUGCACUUUGCCCUUGGUAGUGAACUUUAUUCACUGAGCAUUUUCCAAAACGCAAAGUACCACUGGGGGGGGGGGGGGGGGGGGGACUCCUGUAAUAGGACCUGGUAAAUACGGGUUUAAAGUUACUGUUUCUUGGGGCGCCUGGGUGGCUCAGUCUUUAGCGUGUUCCGUUGGCUCAGGUCAUGAUGCCAGAGUCCUGGGAUGGAGCCCCACAUCGGGCUGCCUGCUCAGCCAGGGAGCCUGCUUCUCCCUCUCCCUUUGCCUGCUGCUCCCCCUGCUUGUGCUCUUUCUCUGUCAAACAAACAGGGAGGGAAGAAGGAAGGAAGGGAGGAAGGAAAGAAAGAAAAGUUACUAUUUCUUGUUGAAAAGUUAGACAUGAGUUUGCUCUCAUAAUACCCAGUAUUCAUACACUUAUACUGGGUAAUAAGGACACACACAGUCUCCCAAGUUGUGUGGAGACUGUGUGUGUCCUGUAAACUGAUGUAUUUGUAGCACCUAAUGAAAUACCUGGCUUUGUACAUUUGUUGAAUGGAUGAAUUAAUGAAUGACUCAUGAUAGCUUCUCAAAAAAGAAAGGAAACUGUAAUUAAAUAUGAAGCCCAAGAUUUUCAUAUUGGGUUUCACAAAAUGGCAGAAUUAAAUUGUUUAUAUAUCCUUAUAAUAAGAUUAUUUGAUAUUUAUUAUUUACCCUGAAGUGUGCUAAGUAUUUUCUUGCAUAUUUUCUUUUUCAACAUUUAACAUUGAGCGUAUAUCAGGCUUGCAAGAUGUGUUCUAUUUUCCCCCAUUUGUGAAAUUGUGACCUGACGUUUGCAGUUUCCCAGGGUCACAGAAAUGGAGAUUCAAACCAGGGUCAUCUGAGAUUUCUACCGCUGUGAGAAAAGUUUACUCUGAAUUAUUCAGGAGUGAAUUACAAAGGCCAUUUAUUUCUAAACCAAAGUUUUUGUGAUAUGAAUACAUUCCUUUUUGUUUGUUUGUUUCAUUUUUAUUGUUUCCCCUUUAAAAAUGUAAAAAUUGUUUUGUUCACUGCUGUAUCCCUAGUAUGAUGCGCGGUCAGUGUAAAUGGUUAAUAGUAUUUGCCAAAAGAAUGAAUGAAUGAAUUACACCACUAACUCAUUCUCUUGGGGAUAGGAAUAAAAUACUACUAUCUUUUGGGAACAACUUACAGCCAAUUUUUUAUUUAUCCAAUGAUGGAAUCUAGACUACCCAUUGUUUCCUUUUGAAAUGUUUCUGGCCCUGCAAACUUUUAUGCAAAAUAUUCAAUUGUACAAAUGGCCAGCUGCCUUACUAUUAAAAAGAAGGAAUUUUUAUAAUUCAUGUUUGUAAGGAAUACUAAUUUUUGUUCACACAGAUUAAAGAUUGGCGUUUUCUCUAUCACUAUAUGAGGUCUGUUGUUUGUGUCAGAGAAGAACAGUUUUUGCUCUUUGAACAUAUUUGUGUCUUAUUAAAGCUUACAUCACAUGGUUGCUAUGCACAGCAUAAUUUAGCAGUUAAAUUUUUAGGCUUUUGUUCAGAUGUUCAGAUUCCAGUUCUACCACUUACUCUUUAACUUUGGGGAGGUUCAUUCAUUCAGCAAGCGUUUACUAAGUGUCUGCUGUGUGCUAGGAGCACUUUCCUAAGAGCUAGGGAAAUAGCAGCAAAUAAAACAAUCAACAACCCCUAUCUUCAUCUUGCUUGUAUUCUAGAAGGAAGAGACUUUUUUUUUUUUAAUGCCACAGAGAAAAAUCAAGUAGAAAAGAAAGGAAUAGACAAGGGCAGUGCAGAAGGAAGGUAUGUUUGCAAUUUUAAAUAGGUUGUUCCAGCAAGAAUUCAUGUAGAUAACUAGAAAAGGAACCUAGAUAAGGAGAAAAAUGAGUCAUGAAGCUAUCUGAAAGGGAGGUGCAAAGGCCCUGAGGUAGGAGCACACACCUUGUGUUUCAGGAUCACCAAGGAGACUGGUGCUCAUUAGGGGCUCCAUUAAUGCUCCAUUAGGGGCUCACAAGAAGUAUCUGGUUUUCUGCUGGUUCUGUAUGAGGAGUUACAAAUAAACAUAAUUCCCAGAGCUGUACUGAGUUAAUGCACAGUGUGUGAAAGUACACUAGCAGAUGUUUGGCCCAAUCAUUUGGUGUUUUAGGAGAUCACCUUGUUUCUGAAAAUCCUGAGUGUAGCUAUGUUAGUAGAUUUCACUUACCAGGUGAUGGAAUGAUCUGGUCAGGAUCCUGGAAGUUUCUUCUCCACUGUCCAUCUAAAAAGAACUAAAGAGAACAUACUUAAUUCUCUAAAAUAAAAAGAAAAGAUGUUGAAAACAACUAUGUUUUAUGGAUAUAAAUUACAAGUAUUGUGGAUUGAAUUGGGACCCCCCCAAUUCAUAUGUUAAAAUCUUAACUCCCCAUUUUUACUGUAUUUGGAGAUAGAGCCUUUAAGGAGGCAAUUAGGACUAAAUGAGGUCAGUACGGGUGGAGCCCUAAUCCAACAGGAAGAGGAAGAGACACCAGGAGGGCACAGAGAAAAACUAUAUGAGGACACAAUGAGAAGGCAGCCAUCUGCAAACCAAGGAUAGAAGUUUUACCAGGAACUAACUCUGCCAUCACCUCUAUCCUUCAUCUUCUAGAACUGUGAGAAAACAAAUUUCUGUUGUUCAAGCCACCCAGUCUGAUAUUUUAUUAUCACAGCCAGAGCAGACUAAUGUAGUGGGCUUUGCAGAUAAUACUGCCAGAGUUCAAAUCCUGGCUCCACUUCUUGUUAGUUUUGUUAAUUUGGACUUAAGAUCUUUGUGCUUUGAUUCUUUAUCUGUAAUAGGGAUAAUUAUGGUGCCUAUUGAUAGGGUACUAUGAAAGUAACAUGAGUUAAUACAAUAAUGCCUAAGAGAUAAUAGCACUUACCCCAUUCAUUUGAUUCCUGUUUAUUGAGCACCUUCUACCUACUAGGCUCUGUUUUAGGCCCUACAGUUAUGAUAUUGGAUGCAAGAAAAUUUCCACCACAUAGAGUUUAUGUUUAAGUGAGCAUAAGUGUAUAGUAAACCAUAUGUGUAUAUGGUACAUAAGUAAGUGAGAUCAAUGGCGGUAAGUACAAUGAGGGAAAGCAAAGCAAGGAAGGGAAAGUGAAGAUGAUGGAUGUGUGAUAGAGAGAAAUGCUAUUUUAGAUUGGGUGACUGGGGAAGUCUUCUCUAGCAAGACAAAAUUUGAACAGAAACAAACAAAAUUUGUUCUGUUCAGACAAAAUUUGAACAGAAACUUGGAGAAAGUGAGGGGAGCCAGUCAUGCAACUUAGUAAGGGAAGAGUGUUUUAGGCCAAGUGAAGAGCAAACUGGAGUGUGCUAGGUGUAUCGGAAGCACAGGAGAAUGGUCCAGGUGAGACUGCUGAGAUAAGGUUUGAGAGGUGGUCUGGGGCAACUUUAUAUAGGACUUUGCAGUCCAUAUGAGGGAUUGGCCUUUACUCUGAGUGCAGUAGAAUGCUCUUCAAGGAUUUUGUGGGGGGGUGUGAUAUGUGAUUUAUGUUUUAAAGGUAUGACUCUGGCUUUUGUGUGGAGGAGAGGCUUUCUGAAGGGAAGGGUGGAAGCAGGAAGACAGGAUAUGAGGCUAAUAAAAUAAGUUCACAUAAUGGCAAUUUGAAGAGGUCAGAUAGUUUCUCUAGCAGAUAAUAAUGAUAAACAGUGGCCAGAUUAUUAAAAACAACAACAACAACAACAAAAAACAACUACUGGAAGGUUCUGGAAGAUGACCUAAGAAUCUGUUGUGGAAAACCUCUUCAGCUCUCAGGAAAUCCAGUUUCUAUACCUGCAAAGCCAUCCUUGGUGACUGCCAAAGCCCAGGGCCGCUCUAUGACCCAGCCUGAGCCUCCAGAGCUUCUCUUGACUCUCUUCUUCCAGCUUCUUGAGGCCAUAUGCUACUUCUCCUGUUUCUUAUUAUUGUCACUCAAAUGACCCUUUCCAGGAUUGGAUGCUGAAUAAAUGUUUAGAAUUGGUUCCUUUUGUUUUUCUGGAUCUUUUUAGGAGACUUCAAGUAUGAAAAUGAUAUGACAUCAUAAGAUAGUGGCAAGUGUCAGCUCUGUUCCUGGGUUGCUACUGUAAUUGCUCAGCAGUGCUAUCAAAGUCCUCCCAGCUGGCCUCAGUGAUCACUACUACCUCAGAAUCGUAGAAUUUGUUUCUCCUAGUAUAGCUGCUGAUGCUGCAGUACCCAUGGUAGUUUGGCAUCAGUGAUGUCCAUGUCAUAGUCACUCAAGGACUCAGCUUCCAUCUUGACACAUGCUUCAGUGAUUAACAGUUCUGGGAAAAGAAGGCAUAGCAAAUCCUCCAGUUCUCUUAAACUUCUGUUUGAAAAUGGCAUAGGUCACUUCAGUGAGAUGAGUCCACACCAGAAUUCAACAGGACACAGGAUGCUCAUGCAGAGAGGUAUUACUAAUUUUCCCAAAAUAUUUUGUGAAACUUCCCAGAAGCUGGUGAGUGUGGAAGCCUUUGCUCUGGCUGUGAGAUAUUAUUCUGUACAAAACUUGGGAAUAUGUACUCCUUUUGAACAGUUACGUACAGCCCUUCAAGGAAAUAAAAAACAGAGAACUGGUGAAAAUGUAAAACCAGAUGAAUUUAUGAAUUUGAAAAAAUCUCAUGAAGUUCAGGCUAUGUCAGAGCUGAUCAGCAGUAUUGCUGAUUACUAUGGGAUAAAGCAGGUAAUUGACCUGGGUUCUGGAAAAGGCUACCUAAGCUCUUUUUUGUCCUUGAAGUAUGGCUUAAAAGUUUAUGGAAUUGAUUCAUCAAAUACCAAUACUCAUGGAGCUGAGGAGAGAAACAGGAAAUUGAAGAAACAUUGGAAAGUCUACCAUACUCGGUCAAAAUUAGAUGCCAAUGGACUGGCAUUAAAAAUGACAAAAGAAAGGAAAGUGCAAGAUGAAAUUAAGUAUAAAGUAGAUAUUGAAGGAAUAUGUAACAGCAGUCCUGCGAAUCAAGAAAAGAUGUCUACCUCAGAUUUUUUGCCAGAUUUUUCAAAUUCUGUGAUUUCUAACAUUAGAACACAAAUGGAAAACCUACAUGUAUAUUCACAUCAAGAAGAAAACUUGUGUUUUGAAAAUGCCUUUUCUCUUAUAGACCUUUUGCCUACUAAUGCCAUAGAACCUGCUUUAUUCCAGACACCUAAGACAAAAAUGUCUGAAACAAAUAAAGAGAGAAGAAAACAUAUAUCAAAGUCAAGUGAAUUAAAUAUAUAUUCACCUGUAACAUCUGUUAUCACUGCUGAUUCACAACUACACGAUAUUAUUAAAGAUCUAGAGGAUUGUUUGAUGGUAGGUCUGCAUACUUGUGGUGAUCUUGCUGCAAACACUCUGCGAAUAUUUACUGCCAAAUCUGAAAUCAGGGGAGUUUGCAGUGUGGGCUGUUGCUACCACCUCUUAUCUGAAGAGUUUGAAAACCCACAUAAAGAAAGUACCCAAGAAAAGUGGGGAUUUCCAAUGUGCCAGUAUUUAAAGGAAGAGAGAUGGUGCUGUGGUCGUAAUGCCAGAAUGUCAGCAUGUUUGGCAUUGGAACGAGUUGCAGUUGGCCAAGGGCUGCCUACUGAAUCACUCUUCUAUCGAGCAGUCCUUCAGGAUAUCAUUAAAGAAUGUUAUGGCAUCACCAAAUGUGAUCGGCAUGUUGGUAAAAUUUAUUCCAAAUCCUCUUCCUUUCCGGACUAUGUCAGAAAGUCUCUAAAGAAGCUUGGAUUAGAUGAGUCCAAGCUGCCAGAAAAAGUUAUAAUGGACUACUACGAGAAGUAUAAGCCUAGAAUGAAUGAGCUGGAAGCUUUUAAUAUGUUGAAAGUUGUUCUGGCUCCUUGUAUAGAGGCAUUGAUUCUUCUAGAUCGACUUUGCUACCUAAAAGAACAGGAAGAUAUUGCAUGGGUUGCACUUGUGAAGUUGUUUGAUCCUGUGAAAUCUCCCAGAUGUUAUGCUAUUAUUGCCCUGAAGAAGCAGCAAUGAUUUCAGUUGAAGCAAGUUUCCUCUUGAGAAAAGCAAGAUAUUGGUGGAUGCAUAACCCUCUAGACCUCAAGCAGUUGAUGAUUUCUUGGCUGUCCUGCCUCUAAAUGGCAGUGAACAUGUUCAGAACAUGCUGUGGAGAAAAGGGAGGAAAUGAAUACACUGAUCCUCCAUGGGAAAAAAACUAGCCCCUUCCUCUGAGAGAAAAGAAUAAUGCCAGGUGUCCUCAUGUGUGUCAGUGCCUGUGGGAGGCAUUUGCUGAUAUUCUGCCCACACCUCCACCACCACCCAAGUGAAGGGUAAGAACAUCAUCUAGGUCACUCCCACUAUACUUAUUAGGGCACAGAGACUGUAAAUUGCAUGCCUACUUCCUAAUCUGCCUAGUGGAACCUAAGUUCCUCAAAGGCAGGAACCAUGUGAUACACCUUUGAAUCUCCAGAUUUGGACCUACAACAUUAUCUAAUCUCACAAGUUUAAUAAAGGUUUAUUGAACCUUUCUUAAUAAGAUGAAAUAUAAUAUAUUAUGGGGGCUUCUGGGUGGCUCAGUGGGUUAAAGCCUCUGCCUUCAGCUCAGGUCAUGAUCCCAGGGUCCUGGGAUCGAGC